rnacentral:rRNA from 1 species
CAUGGUUGUCGUCAGCUCGUGUCGUGAGAUGUUGGGUUAAGUCCCGCAACGAGCGCAACCCCUACGUUUAGUUGCUAACGCGUGAAGGCGAGCACUCUAGACGAACUGCCGUUGACAAAACGGAGGAAGGUGGGGAUGACGUCAAAUCAUCAUGCCCCUUAUGUUCUGGGCUACACACGUGCUACAAUGGCCGGUACAGACGGACGCAAAGCCGCGAGGUGGAGCAGAUCCUAAAAAGCCGGUCUCAGUUCGGAUUGCAGGCUGCAAUUCGCCUGCAUGAAGUCGGAAUCGCUAGUAAUCGCAGGUCAGCAUACUGCGGUGAAUACGUUCCCGGGCCUU